UACGAAGGGGGCUAGCGUUGUUCGGAAUUACUGGGCGUAAAGCGUGCGUAGGUGGUUUGUUAAGUCUGUUGUGAAAGCCCCGGGCUCAACCUGGGAAUGGCAAUGGAUACUGGCAGGCUAGAGUGCGGUAGAGGGUAGUGGAAUUCCCGGUGUAGCGGUGAAAUGCGUAGAGAUCGGGAGGAACACCAGUGGCGAAGGCGGCUACCUGGACCAGCACUGACACUGAGGCACGAAAGCGUGGGGAGCAAACAGG
rnacentral:rRNA from 1 species